rnacentral:lncRNA from 10 species
CCCAUAUCCAGGUGGGUGCCAUCUCCCUUGAACAUUGUCAGAAUAGGGACACUUACCCAGUCCUGGGUGCUGAUGUCAUGGGUGUCAUGGAGCAGUUGCUCAUCCCUAAAGUGGACACAGAGAAGAGUCAUUCUGUUACAGGGGCCUGGACAUGUCUCCCCAGCUGCCCAGCUCACAUCCUUGAUUUGAAGUAUAGUCAAAGUGGGAGGGUCCAGACUUGAAGGGACACUGACCACCUAACAGGCCCAUCAGAGAGGCAGUUGCAGAAUGUGGCACCAGAAAUCUGGCCCCCUGUGAAGCAGAGCGGAUCAUGGCCACUGAAGGUCUGUUCAUCCAGGGCUGGGAACUGAGUUAGAGAAAUGUUUCCAUCCCAGGGCGCUGCCACUGGAACAAGUCCCUGGUAGUUCACUUCUUAUCUCCAUUAUUUUGUGUGGGAAAUGGGUACAAUAAGACUUGAAUUCUCCUCAUCUCACCCUGGAUUUCACCCUCCCUCCCUCCAUCUUUUAGGAAGUGGAAAAGCAGCAGCAGCUGUUAGAUCCUAAAUCCACCUUUUUACAGCCCAGGUAAUCAGGUGGGUGUUCCCAGGGCCCUGCAGGGACCUAUUUGGAAAUCAGGCUUCUGAGGAUGAAGGAGAGCAUUCUCUAAGCAGAGCAGCCUGAACAGACUCAGACACGAGGCAAUUGAGCUGGACAGAGGAGAGACUUGCAGUGCUUAUGAAUGCUUUAAGGAAAGCCAAUUCCCAGCUUGGUUGAAGCAGGGGAAGAAAAGAGAACAUGGACUCCGGCUGUAAGCUAAAUGGAAGAUCCUAGGGUGAGACUUUGGGAUGAACUCCAUAUCUCACUUCUUAUCUCCAUUUUCUUUUGUAUGGCAAAUGGAUACAAUGAGACUUGAAUUCCAAAUCCCCUCCCUUGUUUCCUUUUCCAAACCUUGGAAUGGUGCUGUUUUACCUCGAAUCCGAGCAUCUUCCUGCAGCUGAAAAAUAAUGAGAAUACAGUCAGAGAUGAUGGGGGCUGGUCUCCUGCAGACCUGCACUGUAUUAGCUAUAGACUUGGUCAAAUGCAGGGAUGUCUGUUUGGGAAAAUAUGGGCUUCUUGGACAUGGAACUCCCAAGAUUUCUUUCUUUCUUUUUUUGAGAUGGAGUCUUGCUCUGACAUUCAGGCUAGAGAGCAGUGGUGUGAUAUUGGCUCACUGCAACUUCCACCUCCCAAGUUCAAGCAAUUCUCCUGCCUCAGCCUCCCCAGGAACUGGGAUCACAGGUGUGUACCACCAUGUCUGACUAAUUUUUGCAUUUUUAGUAGAGAUGGGGAUUCACCAUGUUGGUCAGGAUGGUUGAACUCCUGACCUCAGGUGACCUGGCAACCUCAGCCUCCCAAAGUGCUGGGAUUACCACCCAGCCACUUUGGCCACCCUGCCUGGCCAAAAUCCCAAGAUUUCCAAAAGCACAGUUUGUAUUGUUUUUGUAUCUCUCACACCAAACCACUUAAGAUAAUGCCCUGCAUACAGCAUAUGCUCAAUAAAUGUCUUUUGAAUAGUGAAUGAAUAAAUAGGAGCAAGCUGUGCCUCUUUAGGGGUGGGAGACACACAAUUCAUCACUUACAGUCAUAACUAUUCAUACCAAGGCCUCACAUCUUUUAUUCUUUGUGGCCCUCUGGCCCUCUGCUAUGUCUUUUCUGGGCCCUUUUACACUCCUCAUUGAGUCUCCAGUGGUUCUCUGCAGAGAAGCUUUAAGUACGUGUAAAGGAUCUUUAAAAAAUCCCUUCUUGGCUGAGCGGGGUGGCUCAUGUCUGUAAUCCCAGCACUUUGGGAGGCUGAGGUGGGUGGAUCACCUGAGGUCAGGAGUUCAAGACCAGCCUGAUCAACAUGGUGAAACCCCAUUUCUACUAAAAAUGCAGAAAUUAGCCGGGCGUGGUGGCACAUACCUGUAAUCCCAGUUACCCAGGAGACUGAGGCAGGAGAAUCACUGGAACUCGGGAGGCGGAGGUUGUGGUGAGCCAAGAUCGUGCUACUACACUCUAGCCUGGGUGACAGAACAAGACUGUCUCAAAAAAAAAAAAAAAAUCCUUCUUAGGCUGGGCGCAAUGCCUCAUGCCUGUAAUCCCAGCACUUUGGGAGGCCAAGGCUGGCAGAUGGCUUGAGUCCAGGAAUUUGAGACCAACGUGGGCAACAUGGCGAAACCCUGUCUCUACAAAAAAAUACAAAAAAAGUUAGCUGGGUGUGGUAGUCCCAGCUACUUGAGAGGCUAAGGGAGGAGAUUCACUUGAACCCGGGAGCCAGAGGUUGCAGUGAGCCAAGAUCACAUCACUGCACUCCAGCCUGGGCACAGAGUGAGACCCUGUCUCAAAGAGAGAGAGAGAGAGAUUGAGAGAGACACUGAAAUCUAUAGAAGAAGAGCCGAGGAGAGCAGAGGAAGAGGUUUUAUUUCUAUUUACCCAAGAUGGUUAGCUCUGGUCUCUAAUUCAUACUUCCCUGCAGUUAACAGACAUACUCACCUAAUAAGGCAGUUUACUACAUCACUAGGGGAUUC